rnacentral:lncRNA from 1 species
GGCACUGUCUACUAUUUACAUCUGUAUUUUCAUCUUUGCUACUUUUUGUCAGAAUGGCGGCUGUCUGAGGCUUUUUUGGUAUAAAAAAUGUUCUGAAUUUGUUUUCUGAUUUUUGCUAUGAUCACUGUAAUAAAUAGGUUGUCCUUCGGUAAGUGUAGUAUCGCACUUGUUUAAUCCUGUAAAGCUAUACUGUGCAGUUUCUGAAUGACGGGUUGUAUGUAUAUUAUGGUCAUGUGGAAAGUUCUGAGUUGUUUUGAGUUUGUGCUUGUUGAUUCUUUCAUUCUGUUGUUGUGAAUGGUUCCUUUCUAUAUCAAUAUUUCCUGUUUCUUGUUGUAAUUGCACAGUUAUAAGAUUGCUAUUGUUACUAUAUUCUUGAUAUUCAUUACAAUCAGGAUAGUAGUGAUGGUUGUAUGACCAGUUAUCAUGUUGAUAAUAGGGGUAAUGGUAAUUCUGCUGUUGACUAC